ACGGCUCAGUAACACGUAGUCAACUUACCCUAUGGACGAGGAUAAUCUCGGGAAACUGAGCAUAAUACUCGAUAGAUCAUAAUGCCUGGAAUGGUUUAUGGUUAAAAUGAUUCGCCGCCAUAGGAUGGGACUGCGGCCUAUCAGCUUGUUGGUGAGGUAAUGGCCCACCAAGGCGAUUACAGGUACGGGCUCUGAGAGGAGAAGCCCGGAGAUGGGUACUGAGACAAGGACCCAGGCCCUAUGGGGCGCAGCAGGCGAGAAAACUUUGCAAUGUGCGAAAGCACGACAAGGUUAAUCCGAGUGAUUUCUGCUAAAGAAAUCUUUUGCAAGUCAUAAAACCACUAGUGAAUAAGGGGUGGGCAAGUUCUGGUGUCAGCCGCCGCGGUAAAACCGGCACCUCAAGUGGUCAGGAGGAUUAUUGGGCCUAAAGCAUCCGUAGCCGGCUCUGUAAGUUUUCGGUUAAAUCCAUGUGCUCAACGCAUGGGCUGCCGGGAAUACUGCAGAACUAGGGAGUGGGAGAGGUAGACGGUACUCGGUAGGAAGUGGUAAAAUGCUUUGAUCUAUCGAUGACCACCUGUGGCGAAGGCGGUCUACCAGAACACGUCCGACGGUGAGGGAUGAAAGCUGGGGGAGCAAACCGGAUUAGAUACCCGGGUAGUCCCAGCUGUAACUAUGCAAACUCAGUGAUGCAUUGGCUUGUGGCCAAUGCAGUGCUGCAGGAAGCCGUUAAGUUUGCCGCCUGGGAAGUACGUACGCAAGUAUGAAACUUAA
rnacentral:rRNA from 1 species